UCGAGAAUUUUUCUCAAUGGGCGCAAGCCUGAAGGAGCGACGCCGCGUGGAGGAUGACGGUCUUCGGAUUGUAAACUCCUGUCAUUAGGGAACAAAGCUUCCGGUUAACUGCUGUGAAGUCUGAUAGUACCUGAAGAGGAAGAGACGGCUAACUCUGUGCCAGCAGCCGCGGUAAUACAGAGGUCUCAAGCGUUGUUCGGAUUCAUUGGGCGUAAAGGGUGCGUAGGUGGCAAGGUAAGUCGGGUGUGAAAUCCCGGGGCUCAACCCUGGAACUGCACUCGAUACUGCCAUGCUCGAGUACUGGAGAGGAGACUGGAAUUUACGGUGUAGCAGUGAAAUGCGUAGAUAUCGUAAGGAAGACCAGUGGCGAAGGCGAGUCUCUGGACAGUUACUGACACUGAGGCACGAAGGCCAGGGGAGCAAACGGGAUUAGAUACCCCGGUAGUCCUGGCAGUAAACGGUGCGCGUUUGGUGUGGGAGGA
rnacentral:rRNA from 1 species